GGAUACGCCCCUGUUAACCUCAGGGAGUUAAUUUAGCUCCCAGUAGGGUUAUUAUGAGCCAAAUUUAACUUCAAAUGUGGAGUAAAAUUGGGUUCAAAAUAACUCUGCUGGAGUUAAAUUAACUCCAAGAAAAUAACAGCGAGUAUAC